CCUACGGGAGGCAGCAGUGAGGAAUAUUGGUCAAUGGACGCAAGUCUGAACCAGCCAUGCCGCGUGCAGGAAGACGGCUCUAUGAGUUGUAAACUGCUUUUGUACGAGGGUAAACUCAGAUACGCGUACCUUUCUGCAUGUAUCCUACGAAUAAGGAUCGGCUAACUCCGUGCCAGCAGCCGCGGUAAUCCGGAGGAUUCAAGCGUUAUCCGGAUUUAUUGGGUUUAAAGGGUGCGUAGGCGGUCGGUUAAGUUAGGGGUGAAAUCCCGAGGCUCAACAUCGGAAUUGCCUCUGAUACUGUUAGGCUAGAGGGUAGUUGCGGUAGGCGGAAUGUGUGGUGUAGCGGUGAAAUGCUUAGAGAUCAUGCAGAACACCGAUUGCGAAGGCAGCAUACCAAGCU
rnacentral:rRNA from 1 species